UACGCAGCCUUACUCACAUUUCUGCAAGUGACUGUUUUCAUUGCUUGAACUCAUGACCUUCUGAUCACAUAACAAUAAUUGCAGUAAGUCUUAGCACAAAAUUAUUGACCGUGGGACAAGAAAGUUAUACACUUAAUUAACUAAAAGGGGGAAUUCUAGCAAAAAACAAUGAUAUUCAGUAAAUACAAUGUAAAGGGAUAUGUUAAGAAAGAAAGGUUUAGUUCAGAAGUGAAAGUCUAUAAAGCGAAUGAACAGGAAAAUGAAGUACUACACACCUCUUGAUAACUCCAAAAAGAAGCCAUUUCUUCCAUUUUCUCACUCAAUCAAACUCUCACAGUCUUACUUGCGAGAAGAGUUGGGAAAUUGAGAAAUGAAAUAUUGAAAAAUCUUUUUGAGGGGACAGGUUUUUUC
rnacentral:lncRNA from 1 species